CCUCUCCAUCACCUUCCCAAACACCAACUCCUUCUCCCUCUCCCUCUCCAAUGGUUACUUAUGAGUAUCUUUCUUCUCCAAAUACUACAGUUAAUGCUCCACCAGUGUGUGUAAUGCCAACUGAUUGUAAAGCAUGGAAAGAACUGGGAAUUAAA